GAGUAUGAGUUGUUUUAGUUUUGCAAAAACUAAAUUGAAUAUUUUAUAUUCCAUACUUU
rnacentral:tRNA from 1 species